UUUUUUCCAACUUCCCCCUUUCUGAACAUUACAGAACAUCGUAUCUCUCUGUGGAGUUACUCUCUUAUGGCUUGCACAAGCACCUGGUGAGCAGAGGGUUAGCACUUUACUGCCUCAACUGUGGUGCUACUGAGCAUAAUCCAUAAACAGAGAAGUGAUUAACUUCUUUUGGUACAAGUAUAUUACAUACAAACACUGAUGGAAGAUCAUACAAAUGCUCUUCUCCUAACUGUCCUGCACAUAGAAGGGUGAAAUUUAUAUCCCAUCUCUACCAGCAUCCUACAGGCUGCAAGUUUGAAUAUAGAAAAAUGAUGACAAAACUUGCACACGGGAAAUAGAAAAGUAAACUUUGAAGGUAAAUAUCUGAAAUCCUGUUACAAAAGCAUCUGAAAAAAAGCUAUUCUCUGAUUUCUCAGGAACUGGUUGCAACUCUAUGUUUUCUAAUACUGAUAACUUGCUCUAGAUGAAAUGCAAGAGGUGAUACUGAAAUAAAACUGAAUGCAAUACCAUUUACAAUGUUGGAGUAAUUUGCAAUCAGUCUGGAACAAGUUUAUUUUCCUGGCAGCAGCAGGAGCUGUAGCUAGCAGCCCAUGGAAGGUGGCAAACAAGUCUUCCUUCCUCUCUCCUGGAGGAGAAUUGUAACAGUUCUCACAGUGACUCCCUGGCACCUUCCCAGCUAUUCCAAUGUAUUUACAGAGGACAGCAACUGGGGUAACAACUGGCUCAAGAACAGUGCCUGUAUUAAUCUAUGAACCUGUUGUGGCUAGAAAAGUUUAUAGGACAUAAAUUAUUACUUGUGGGGUAUAAAGGAUUUAAAAAAACUUAAUGUCAGAAUCUCUAAGAAGGGUGGCAUCUGGCAAACCUCUAGGAAAAUGUGAGAUGUGUGUGCAUAUGUAUUCCACAAACCUACUACCACUCAGGUAACUUUCCAGCUCCCACAGGCUUGAAUGUUUAUGAUCAGGCCCAGCCACAGCAACAUUUAGAAGUUGCAAUCAGUUUGUUUUAGCCCCAGCAAACCAUGUUUUUGGUGGGUGAAGGCCAUCUGCCCUAAGAACUGCAGAGGCUGCACAUCAGAGCAUGCCUCGACAGCUUUGCUUUGUGCCUGUGCUCACCUCUUCCAGCACAGGGAAAUCCUUGUGGCAGCACUUCCCACUGCAGUUCAGCAGGAUGUAAAAAGCUUCUUUGAAGCAGAAAAUGCUGGGAGCUGGCAGAGAUUAUUUUACUUCUCAUUGUAACAAUGUGGGUUUUUAUCUUUGCACGCUGGUAGAAGGAAUCAGAUUAUUAUCUCUGAAUUUUAGUUUUCAGAUUACAAGAGGCUUAUCUUGAAAACAUAAAUCAAAGUAUGCUCCAAAAAACCUAAAAUUUUAAUGUUAAAAUCAAUCUAUUGUGAUUUUUAUUGUUGUCACAAAAGUCAGGGUUUAGACGUAAUAUUGGAUAGAACUGUGUCAGUGGUUCUGAAGACCAUACUUGUGAGAAGCUGUGUAUCUACUGCCUGCAGUCUUGUGACAAAAAGGGGAUUUUUUGAAGAGUAUUUAUUCAUAUUCUGGCUCUGGUUCUGGAACCCAGGCAAGCAGUUUUGGUGUUCCCCACCUGUGUCCGUGGGUGUGCAAUGGCUGAUGAAGCAGAGUUUAGAGGAACACAUUAAAUUAUGUGAUUUUUUUUAAACCCUAACCCUCCAUCCCCCAAAUCCAGAGUUUUGUGGUGUCCUGGACACAUAGGAGAUACUUCAACUUGUCAUGUUAUCAUUCAAUAUUGCUGCUCUUGCUGCAGAUGAAAACAGUGGCAGAUCUUUUUGCAUUUCAUGCUCUUUCAAUACACUGAGCUCUGCAGAAUGGAAGAAAGCUUGGGAGAAAUCUCAGAUUUUGUGGAUUUGGAGGUGGUGUCACACUCACACAUCUGCCUUUUCAAUACAGUCAGCCAGGGUCUUUGCUCACAUCAUGUUUAAAAAGGAAGCAGUAGCUCUAAUGGGGGAAAAUCAACAAAACCCAGUGGCAUCCCCAGAUGUCCACCCUCCAUUCAGCGGCUGACAAAUGUGGGCAGAUGGCACAAGUGCUCCCGGAUGUAUUUACAGAUCAAUGUAAAUGUAAAUAAAUAACUAGCAGCAAAUGCAGGCACCUACCCUGCUGCUGGUGCCUUGGUGGCACUAAUGACUCUGACCUGACUGGAAACAUGGAGCAAGAAAGAAUUUGCUUGAAGUUACUUGUCCUAAUGGACAGAAGGGAAAUGGCAAAUCUUAAAAGCUCAAGCUCCUUUUAUUCCUAAGGAGAAGUUCAGAGACAGGUAAAUGCAUUAGUGAGUGUUUUUGCCACCUCCUUCACCCUGGGUGCAGUGAUCCUACCUCAGUGUAAGGUGGGAUCUCAUUUUCCCACCCUCCAAAAGUAAGAAAAUGUUGAGCAAUGUGUAGUCUCACCAGAUGCUGCGAGCUUGACAAAAUUCACUGGUUUUUCUCUGCAACAAAUUCUCCAUUUUCUAACAAUGGGAGAAGAAGGGAAAGAUGUGUUUGGCUUUUUUAUUUCCCCAUGCAGCAGCAGUUGCUUCACAGUGGUGCUGGUGGCAGGGACCCUGUGGGAGGCUGUUCCCCCCUCUCACUGCAUCUCACCAAGCUUCACUCUGGGGUUUUGCUAAAACAAUGAAGGAGCACUGACCUAUCAAAGCACGGUUUUACAGGUUUCUUGUUUUAGAGAAGGUUUGUCAUCCCUUAAAACUAAUGGGAAAAAAAAUCUGUAAAACAUUUUCCAGUGAUAUUAUUUUAACAGCCGUCAUUAUGACAUGGUCUAUAAGCACCUGUAGGCACUGUGUCUGCCACUGAAAGACCAUGUUGUCUAAACAGAAGUGUUGUCUUGGAAGCUUCCAGGUGGGCAGAAACAACCCCAGUAUUUCCCAGCUUACCUUAAAAGCAAGACAGCCUCACUUGCUUGGCCCUCCAUUCCCUACUUGAGUUUUGAUGUUGUCAUGUCCUCUCCAAAACCAGUAACACAUAAACUUGUACUUGUGACUGAUAAACAUUACUUGUGAGAUGGCUCAAAUACUUGAAACACCUCAGUAAAGGCUGUCAGAAACAUUAUUCUCUGGAAAAUCCAGGUUAAAAUUUUUGCCCUGUGAAGUCUAUGACAACAACCUAUUACUCAGACUGAAAAAAAAAAAAAGUGUGUAGGAAUGCUUUGAAGACCCACAGAUACCAGCUGUGCA